GCUAAGAUUGGUCGUUGAAUUUCUCAGGAAUUUAAAAAAUAUUCCGCUUUAGUGAUAUUGGCUGUAAUUAGUUAGCACACAAAAUAGUCAAAGUGAACUGGGUACUGUCAUUAGUUUCGCCAACUGAAGAGAUCUAUACUGCAACUUUCGACAAGUACAUUAACAGUGAGAAGCAUAA